rnacentral:rRNA from 1 species
CACGGGUGAGUAACAGGUAGGUAAUAUACCUUUGAGUGGGGAAUAACGUGCGGAAACGAACGCUAAUACCGCAUAAUGCAGCGGCAUCGCAAGAUGACAGUUGUUAAAGGAGCAAUUCGCUUAAAGAGGAGCCUGCGGCAGAUUAGCUAGUUGGUAAGGUAAUGGCUUACCAAGGCUACGAUCUGUAACCGACCUGAGAGGGUGGUCGGUCACACUGACACUGAAUAACGGGUCAGACUCCUACGGGAGGCAGCAGUCGGGAAUUUUGGGCAAUGGGCGAAGGCCUGACCCAGCAACGCCGCGUGAAGGAUGAAGUCUCUCGGGAUGUAAACUUCGUAAGAAUAGGAAGAAUAAAUGACGGUACUA